CGAAGCGAACCGGGGGAACUGAAACAUCUCAGUACCCCGAGGAAAAGAAAUCAACCGAGAUUCCCCCAGUAGCGGCGAGCGAACGGGGAGCAGCCCAGAGUCAACAUCAAUAUUUAUUGCAGGAGAAGGGUCUGAAAAAGCCGGCAACAAAAGGUGAUAGCCCCGUAUCUGAAACGGUAAGUGUUGUGAACUCGAAGAGUAGGGCGGGACACGUGUUAUCCUGUCUGAAUAUGAGGGACCAUCCUCCAAGGCUAAAUACUCCUGACUGACCGAUAGUGAACCAAGUACCGUGAGGGAAAGGCGAAAAGAACCCCGGCGAGGGGAAUGAAAUAGAACCUAAAACUCUGUACGUACAAGCAGUGAGAGCACCCGAAAGGGUGUGACUGCGUACCUUUUGUAUAAAAGGUCAGCGACUUAUAUUCUGUAGCACUUAUAUUCUGUAGCAAGGUUAACCGGAUAGGGAAGCCCUAGGGAAACCGACUCUUAACUGGUCGUUAAGUUCCAGGGUAUAGACCCCGAAACCCGGAAAUCUACCCAUGGGCAGGUUGAAG
rnacentral:rRNA from 1 species